CACGGGGGUUGCGAGCGUUGUCCGGAAUUACUGGGCGUAAAGGGCGCGCAGGCUGUAGAUCAAGUCAGCUGUGAAAUGUCUGGGCUUAACCCGGGCAUGCGGUUGAAACUGAUGUACUGGAGUGCUGUAGAGGCAAGUGGAAUUCCCAGUGUAGCGGUGAAAUGCGUAGAUAUUGGGAAGAACACCGGUGGCGAAGGCGACUUGCUGGGCAGCAACUGACGCUGAGGCGCGAAAGCCAGGGGAGCAAACGGGGAUUAGAUA
rnacentral:rRNA from 1 species